GGUUUAUGUUCGGGUUUAGAUUAUAGAUUAAAGGUUAUAGGUAAUAGAUUUAGGUUUAUGUUAUAGGUUUAGGUUUAGGGUUUAGGAUCGGACUGGGCACAGCACGGUUAGGACACCGAACAUUGCAUAAAAAAUGAAAUAUUAAAACGUGAUGAAGUGUUGAUUAAACGCCCACCAUUAAAAACUUCUUGGGGCCACGAAAGUUU